CGGCAGCGGCAGACGCGAAACCCAGUGGUCUACCCUUGGCCAGGUUGAAGGCUGGGUAACACCAGCUGGAGGUCCGCACCAAUAAGCGUUGAAAAGCUUCUGGAUGACCUGAGGGUGGGGGUGAAAGGCUAAUCAAACUUGGAGAUAGCUCGUACUCCCCGAAAUGCAUUUAGGUGCAGCCUUGACUUAUACUGGCAUGAGGUAGAGCGACUGAUAAGAUGCGAGGGCUUCACCGGCGAUCAAGUCUUGACAAACUCCGAAUGCGUGUCAGUUCUAUGUCAGGAGUGAGGGCAUGGGUGCUAAGGUCCACGUCCUAAAGGAGCACAAUCCGGACCAACAGCUAAGGUCCCGAAAUGAAUACUAAGUUGAACUAACGAAGUCAGAUUGCUAAGACAGCUAGAAUGUUGGCUUGGAAGCAGCCAUUCAUUUAAAGAGUGCGUAACGGCUCACUAGUCGAGGAGUUUGGCGUUUAUAAUAAUCGGA
rnacentral:rRNA from 1 species